UCUGGAGGACGACCUCCCCCGCCGUGGGAACAAUGUCCGGGACGGCCCGG
rnacentral:ncRNA from 1 species